GCCUAACUCGGCUCCAGUGAGUGUGACUGAUGUCGUCAGAAGCUAAGCAGCGAUGAGCCUGGUUAGUACUUAGAUGGGAGAUUGCCUAUGAAUAUCAGGCGUUAUAGGCU
rnacentral:rRNA from 1 species